AUGAGGAACCUCUUCUUCUCUGACUCCUCCUGCAAAGAAACCAAGCUUCAUACUUUUAAUCCUCAAUCAUGGCUUCAAGUUGAAAGAGGGAAGUUUUCUAAGUCCUCCUUUCAUUCUCCUUCUUCCAUCGAAUCGCUCGUAAAGGUAACUGAGCCACUGGUUCUCCCUCUCUUUAAGCCUGUGGACUAUGUAGAAGUCUUAGCUCAGAUACAUGAAGAGCUCGAGUCAUGCCUGGCGCAUGAGAGGUCAAAUCUGUACUUACUCCAAUUUCAGGUUUUCAAGGGUCUUGGAGAAGUCAAAUUGCUUCAGAGAAGCCUGGGUUGUGCUUUUGAGAAGGCAAGCACAGUUCAUGAGAAACUCAUAUUUGGAGCCUGGCUGAAGUAUGAGAAACGGGGAGAAGAACCAAUCUCAGAUCUUCUUGCCUCCUGCAGGAAGUGCUUUCAAGAAUUUGGAUUGUUGGACAUUGCUUCUGAGAUUCCUGUUGAGAUUGUUGAGACGGUUGACACGGUUGACACAUGUAAUUCCCAUGCAUCAUCGCAUGUUUCCGAUUCUGUAUGUUUCCAAAUAAAAGGUGAAAAAAUUACCUGUGAUCGACAGAAGAUUGCAGCUCUGUCCACUCCAUUCCAAACCAUGCUUAAUGGAUGCUUUGCGGAGUCAUAUCUUGAAGUCAUAGAUAUGUCUGAAAAUGGCAUCUCGCCGCUUGGUAUGAGAUUAAUCAGUGAGUUCAGUUGCUCGUAUAAUCUGAGCAAUUUAUCACCAGAUGUUUUAUUGGAAAUAUUAGUAUUCGCAAAUAAAUUUUGUUGCGAGAGGCUUAAAGAUGCUUGUGGCAGGAAACUUGCAUCUCUAGUUUCUUCAAGGCAAGAUGCUAUAGACCUUAUGGAGCUGGCACUUGAAGAAAGCUCUGCUGUUCUUGCUGCUUCAUGUUUGCAGGUCUUCCUGCAUGAACUUCCUGAUUGUUUAAAUGAUGAGGAAGUGGUUAAAAUCUUCUCGAAUGCUAAUGAACACCAGAGAUCGAUCAUGGCUGGCCAUGCCUCAUUUUCACUGUAUUGCUUGCUAAGUGAAGUUGCCAUGAAAGCUGAUCCGAGGUCAGAGGUUACGGCAUGCUUUCUGGAGAAGUUGGUAGAGUCAGCAAUGGAUAAUAGGCAGAAGCAGUUGGCUUUUCACCAACUGGGAUGUGUGAGGCUUUUGAGGAAAGAGUAUCAUGAAUCUGAGUGCCUGUUUAAUGCUGCUUAUGCUGCUGGGCAUGUCUAUUCUAUUGCUGGAUUGGCUAGGUUGGCUGCUAUCAGGGGUAACAAGCUUUUGUCUUAUGAGAUGCUAAGCUCUGUGAUAUCUUUCUAUAACCCCCUUGGCUGGAUGUAUCAAGAGAGAUCUCUUUAUUCUGAUGGUGAUAUCAAGUGGGAAGAUCUUACCAAGGCGACUGAGUUGGACCCAACUCUUCUUUACCCUUACAUGUUUCGAGCAGCAUAUUUGAUGAGAAAACAAAGCAUGGAAGCUGCGCUUAUGGAAAUUAACCGUAUUCUUGGCUUCAAUCUGGCCUUGGAAUGCUUAGAACUACGGUUUUGUUUCUAUCUGGCACUUGAGGAUUACAGGGAAGCACUUUGUGAUGUCCAGACAAUUCUUACAUUGUCGCCUGAGUACCGAAUGUUUGAAGGUCGUGUAGCUGCUUCCCAGUUGCGUACACUUGUCUGGGAGCAUGUGGAACACUGGACAACUGCAGAUUGUUGGCUGCAGCUUUAUGAUCGGUGGUCGUCAGUAGAUGAUAUAGGUUCUCUCUCAGUUAUCUAUCAGAUGCUUGAGUCUGAUUCUUCCAAAGGUGUACUGUACUUCAGGCAAUCUUUGCUUCUUCUUAGGCUGAACUGUCCCGAAGCAGCAAUGCGCAGCCUGCAGCUAGCACGCCAGCAUGCAGCAAGUGAACAUGAACGUCUGGUAUAUGAAGGAUGGAUUUUAUAUGAUACUGGUCACUCUGAAGAAGGGCUACAUAAAGCAGAAGAGUCAAUUUCCAUUCAGAGGUCAUUUGAGGCUUUCUUUUUGAAAGCCUAUGCAUUGGCAGAUUCAAACCUUGAUCCUUCAUCCUUUGCGACUGUGAUCUCACUUCUUGAAGAUGCUUUGAAGUGUCCUUCCGAUAGACUUCGGAAAGGUCAAGCCUUGAACAAUCUUGGAAGUGUUUAUGUUGACUGUGGGAAACUAGACCUGGCAGCAGAGUGUUACAUGAGUGCCCUAAACAUCCGGCACACUCGAGCUCAUCAGGGACUUGCUCGAGUCCAUUUCCUAAAGACUGACAGGAAUGCUGCAUACGAGGAAAUGACCAAAUUAAUAGAGAAGGCCAGAAAUAAUGCAUCAGCUUAUGAGAAGAGGUCAGAGUACUGUGAUCGUGAACUUACAAUGGCUGAUUUACAGAUGGUGACCAAAUUGGAUCCUCUACGAGUCUACCCUUACAGAUACCGUGCUGCAGUCUUGAUGGAUGGCCAUAAGGAGAAAGAGGCGAUAGAAGAGCUGACAAGAGCAAUAGCCUUCAAAGCGGAUGUCCACCUGCUCCAUCUGCGAGCUGCCUUUUAUGAGCACAUUGGGGAUGUUCCCAGUGCUCUUCGUGAUUGCAGGGCUGCCCUUUCUGUAGACCCUAACCACCAAGAGAUGCUGGAGCUUCACAACCGGGUUAACAGCCAAGAGCCAUGAUACUGUGUAAACUGUAAACUACACCAGAUCAAUUACCCCUCAUAGUCAAUCUUAGGUUCUGUAUUUUUCCUUCUAUUUUUGUCACCCUUUUUUCCUGUGCAAUCUGUUUGUACGAAUAAAUUAUCUCAUAUAUAUGUGGUUGUCUCCAGAAGUUUUGAUGUGUGAAUGAAAUGCAAGUUUAUAGGGGCAAUGUUGAGGGGCAUUGUGGGAAGUGGGAAUGAACUAUUCUAUCCAUUGUAUGUACACUAGCUCUAGGCAAGGAUUUGGAAUUUGAUGAUAAGCAUUUAAGCCAUAUAUCAGUAAUACUUGAGGAUUCUCUGCAUCUAUCGAAAUGCUUUGAGGCCCAACUCUUGUACCAAAGCAAUGCUCCAGGGGAGAAGAAAAGAAGACCUCUAUCAGGCUUCUAGAGAAGCCCUGGCAGUUCAGGGAUCAGUAUCCAAUCUGUUUGUUGGAGUCAUCAGAGGAAUAAAGAGAAGCAAUACUUUGUAUUUAAAGAUAAGGACAGGAAUGAUAUUUCAUUGAUAUGGUGUUUGUUUAUAGGCAAGGAAUGCCAAAAACCACUGGAUCACACGUGGCAUGAGAAGCAUCUACAAGGAAUUUCCUGCCCCCCACCCCUCCUUAUAUACAGGAUCACAUCUAACAAGAGAUUCAGAAAUUGAGAAUAGCUUGAUUGGCAAAGAAACACCAUCCCAUGGCUUUGGAGGCCUGGUUAAUAGAUGAGAGCGACGAGGACCAGAGGCUUCCACACCAUCGGAACCCUAAAGAGUUUGUAACCCUGAGCAAGCUUGAAGGCUCAUUUUGUUACUUCUGGAGUUUUGAUGGCACAAAGCUCUCCGCUACUGAGAUUAUGGUAUCUAUUUCCUGCAGAGCUUGGAGUUUUAUAUUGGCAUUUGGAUCCCCGAGACUUUGAGAAUGAUGAACUGAAGAAAAUUCGAGAAAGCAGAGGAUACAACUAUAUGGACCUUCUGGAGUUAUGCCCUGGAAAAGUUGA